rnacentral:rRNA from 1 species
UCCUACGGGGCGCAGCAGUGGGGAAUAUUGCACAAUGGGGGGAACCCUGAUGCAGCGACGCCGCGUGAGUGAAGAAGUAUUUCGGUAUGUAAAGCUCUAUCAGCAGGGAAGAAGAUGACGGUACCUGACUAAGAAGCCCCGGCUAACUACGUGCCAGCAGCCGCGGUAAUACGUAGGGGGCAAGCGUUAUCCGGAUUUACUGGGUGUAAAGGGGGCGCAGACGGCAGCGCAAGCCAGGAGUGAAAGCCCGGGGCCCAACCCUGGGACUGCUCUUGGAACUGCGCGGCUGGAGUGCAGGAGGGGCG